AGUGAACGCUGGCGGUAGGCCUAACACAUGCAAGUCGAACGGCAGCACAGGAGAGCUUGCUCUCUGGGUGGCGAGUGGCGGACGGGUGAGGAAUACAUCGGAAUCUACUUUUUCGUGGGGGAUAACGUAGGGAAACUUACGCUAAUACCGCAUACGACCUACGGGUGAAAGCAGGGGACCUUCGGGCCUUGCGCGAUUGAAUGAGCCGAUGUCGGAUUAGCUAGUUGGCGGGGUAAAGGCCCACCAAGGCGACGAUCCGUAGGUGGUCUGAGAGGAUGAUCAGCCACACUGGAACUGAGAGACGGUCCAGACUCCUACGGGAGGCAGCAGUGGGGAAUAUUGGACAAUGGGCGCAAGCCUGAUCCAGCCAUACCGCGUGGGUGAAGAAGGCCUUCGGGUUGUAAAGCCCUUUUGUUGGGAAAGAAAUCCAGCUGGCUAAUACCCGGUUGGGAUGACGGUACCCAAAGAAUAAGCACCGGCUAACUUCGUGCCAGCCGCCGCAGUAA
rnacentral:rRNA from 1 species